UACGUAGGAUGCAAGCGUUGUCCGGAAUUAUUGGGCGUAAAGAGCGCGCAGGCGGUAACUCAAGUCAGAUGUGAAAUAUCCGGGCUUAACCCGGAGGGGUCAUUUGAAACUGAGUAACUAGAGUACAGCAGAGGAUAGCGGAAUUCCAGGUGUAGCGGUGAAAUGCGUAGAUAUCUGGAGGAAUACCGGUGGCGAAGGCGGCAUCCUGGACCGGCAUUGACGCUGAACAGCGAAAGCUAGGGGAGCAAACGGG
rnacentral:rRNA from 1 species